AAGGACGAACGCUGGCGGCGUGCUUAACACAUGCAAGUCGAGCGAUGAAGCUUCUCGGAAGUGGAUUAGCGGCGGACGGGUGAGUAACACGUGGGUAACCUGCCUCAUAGAGGGGAAUAGCCUUCCGAAAGGAAGAUUAAUACCGCAUAAGAUUGUAAUAUCGCAUGAUAUAGCAAUUAAAGGAGUAAUCCGCUAUGAGAUGGACCCCGCGUCGCAUUAGCUAGUUGGUGAGGUAACGGCUCACCAAGGCGACGAUGCGUAGCCGACCUGAGAGGGUGAUCGGCCACAUUGGGACUGAGACACGGCCCAGACUCCUACGGGAGGCAGCAGUGGGGAAUAUUGCACAAUGGGGGAAACCCUGAUGCAAGCAACGCCGCGUGAGUGAUGACGGUUCUUCGGAUUGUAAAGCUCUGUCUUCAGGGACGAUAAUGACGGUACCUGAGGAGGAAGCCACGGCUAACUACGUGCCAGCCGCGGC
rnacentral:rRNA from 1 species